CUACGGGAUGCUCCAGUCGAGAAUCUUCCGCAAUGGACGAAAGUCUGACGGAGCGACGCCGCGUGCGGGAUGAAGGCCUUCGGGUUGUAAACCGCUGUCAGUGGGGAGGAAAUGCAUCAGGGUUCUCCCUGGUGUUUGACCGAUCCGCAGAGGAAGCGCAGGCUAAGUUCGUGCCAGCAGCCGCGGUAACACGAACUGCGCGAACGUUAUUCGGAAUCACUGGGCUUAAAGAGUUCGUAGGCGGCCUUUCAAGUCGGGUGUGAAAUCCCUCGGCUCAACCGAGGAAUUGCGCCUGAUACUGUUGGGCUUGAGGGGGAUAGGGGUGAGCGGAACUGCUGGUGGAGCGGUGAAAUGCGUUGAUAUCAUCAGGAACACCGGUGGCGAAGGCGGCUCACUGGAUCUCUUCUGACGCUGAGGAACGAAAGCUAGGGGAGCGAACAGGAUUAGAUACCCCGGUAGUC
rnacentral:rRNA from 1 species